rnacentral:rRNA from 1 species
CUAAUACAUGCAGUCGAGGGGCAGCAUGGGUAGCAAUACCUGAUGGCGACCGGCAAACGGGUGCGGAACACGUACGCAACCUUCCUUCAAGCGGGGAAUAGCCCAGAGAAAUUUGGAUUAAUACCCCAUAGGAAUGUAGUCUCGCAUGAGACAGCAUUUAAAGAUUUAUCACUUGAAGAUGGGCGUGCGUCUGAUUAGGUAGUUGGUGAGGUAACGGCUCACCAAGCCGACGAUCAGUAACUGGCGUGAGAGCGCGACCAGUCACUCGGGCACUGAGACUCGGGCCCGACUCCUACGGGAGGCAGCAGUAAGGAAUAUUGGUCAAUUUACGCAAGUCUCAACCUCCCAUGCCACGUGCAGGAUUAA